rnacentral:rRNA from 2 species
CAGGACGAACGCUGGCGGCGUGCCUAAUACAUGCAAGUCGAGCGGACCGACGGGAGCUUGCUCCCUUAGGUCAGCGGCGGACGGGUGAGUAACACGUGGGUAACCUGCCUGUAAGACUGGGAUAACUCCGGGAAACCGGGGCUAAUACCGGAUGCUUGAUUGAACCGCAUGGUUCAAUCAUAAAAGGUGGCUUUCAGCUACCACUUGCAGAUGGACCCGCGGCGCAUUAGCUAGUUGGUGAGGUAACGGCUCACCAAGGCGACGAUGCGUAGCCGACCUGAGAGGGUGAUCGGCCACACUGGGACUGAGACACGGCCCAGACUCCUACGGGAGGCAGCAGUAGGGAAUCUUCCGCAAUGGACGAAAGUCUGACGGAGCAACGCCGCGUGAGUGAUGAAGGUUUUCGGAUCGUAAAACUCUGUUGUUAGGGAAGAACAAGUACCGUUCGAAUAGGGCGGUACCUUGACGGUACCUAACCAGAAAGCCACGGCUAACUACGUGCCAGCAGCCGCGGUAAUACGUAGGUGGCAAGCGUUGUCCGGAAUUAUUGGGCGUAAAGCGCGCGCAGGCGGUUUCUUAAGUCUGAUGUGAAAGCCCCCGGCUCAACCGGGGAGGGUCAUUGGAAACUGGGGAACUUGAGUGCAGAAGAGGAGAGUGGAAUUCCACGUGUAGCGGUGAAAUGCGUAGAGAUGUGGAGGAACACCAGUGGCGAAGGCGACUCUCUGGUCUGUAACUGACGCUGAGGCGCGAAAGCGUGGGGAGCGAACAGGAUUAGAUACCCUGGUAGUCCACGCCGUAAACGAUGAGUGCUAAGUGUUAGAGGGUUUCCGCCCUUUAGUGCUGCAGCAAACGCAUUAAGCACUCCGCCUGGAGACGCCGUCG